GAUGAACCACUUCGGUGGGGAUUAGUGGCGAACGGGUGAGUAACACGUGGGCAAUCUGCCCUGCACUCUGGGACAAGCCCUGGAAACGGGGUCUAAUACCGGAUACUGACCCUCACGGGCAUCUGUGAGGUUCGAAAGCUCCGGCGGUGCAGGAUGAGCCCGCGGCCUAUCAGCUUGUUGGUGAGGUAAUGGCUCACCAAGGCGACGACGGGUAGCCGGCCUGAGAGGGCGACCGGCCACACUGGGACUGAGACACGGCCCAGACUCCUACGGGAGGCAGCAGUGGGGAAUAUUGCACAAUGGGCGAAAGCCUGAUGCAGCGACGCCGCGUGAGGGAUGACGGCCUUCGGGUUGUAAACCUCUUUCAGCAGGGAAGAAGCGAAAGUGACGGUACCUGCAGAAGAAGCGCCGGCUAACUACGUGCCAGCAGCCGCGGUAAUACGUAGGGCGCGAGCGUUGUCCGGAAUUAUUGGGCGUAAAGAGCUCGUAGGCGGCUUGUCACGUCGGUUGUGAAAGCCCGGGGCUUAACCCCGGGUCUGCAGUCGAUACGGGCAGGCUAGAGUUCGGUAGGGGAGAUCGGAAUUCCUGGUGUAGCGGUGAAAUGCGCAGAUAUCAGGAGGAACACCGGUGGCGAAGGCGGAUCUCUGGGCCGAUACUGACG
rnacentral:rRNA from 1 species